CGACCUUAUGUUAAUGAAAAACAAGAGAAAAAUAGCCAUUUAUUUGAUUUCUUUUUGGCUCUUUUCCUCCUAAGAUCCCUAAAUGCUUCAUAGUAAGGAUGUCAGUCAUUCUCACUACAACUGUGUUAGAAUACUUUGCAUUAAAAAUUUAGAUCUUCUUACAUGGAAGAGGUCAAAUCCAGUUAUAGCAAAACACCUUUACUGCAGAGGCCAUAUAACCAAAAAGUCCAAAGGCCCAGCCCAGUGGACCAUUUACUUCAGUGAUGUUCAGUACAAAAUUUCACUGCCAUUAAAGACUUUGGAAAGUCCCUUUUAAGUUGUAACAGGAUUUGACUAUUAGUGUGGAUUUCGAUAACCCUUCUUUAGUUAAUGUAAUAAAUGCUCUUUGAAGCUGGAAAUAUACUGGUUUCUUGCAUCCUUAUAGUUUUCUCUGGGCUUUUAUGC
rnacentral:sRNA from 1 species